rnacentral:lncRNA from 1 species
CUCUACUAAAAAUACAAAAAUUAGCCAGGCGCUGUGGCUCACGCCUGUAAUCCCAGCACUUUGGGAGGCCGAAGCAGGUGGAUCACGAGGUCAGGAGUUCGAGACCAGCCUGACCAACAUGGUGAAACCCCGUCUCUACUAAAAAUACAAAAAUUAGCUGGGCGUGGUGGCAGCCGCCUGUAAUCCCAGCUACUCGGGAGGCUGAGGCAGGAGAAUCACUUGAACCCGGGAGGCGGAGGUUGCAGUGAGCUGAGAUCAGGCCAUUGCACUCCAGCCUGGGCGACAGAGUGAGACUCUGUCUCAAAAAAAAAAAAAAAAAAGAAGAAAGAAUACCAAAUUUUUUUUUUUUUUUGAGAUGGAGUCUCACUCUGUCACCCAGGCUGGAGUGCAGUGGUGCGAUCUCAGCUCACUGCAACCUCCGCCUCCCGGGUUCAAGCGAUUCUCCUGCCUCAGCCUCCCGAGUAGAUAGGAUUACAG